ACACCGGCAGCUCUAGUGGUAACAAUUUUUAUUGGGCCUAAAGCGUCCGUAGCCGGUUUAAUAAGUCUCUGGUGAAAUCCUGUAGCUUAACUGUGGGAAUUGCUGGAGAUACUAUUAGACUUGAGACCGGGAGAGGUUAGAGGUACUCCCAGGGUAGAGGUGAAAUUCUGUAAUCCUGGAAGGACCGCCUGUUGCGAAGGCGUCUAGCGGAACGGUUCUGACGGUGAGGGACGAAAGUUAGGGGCGCGAACCGGAUUAGAUACCCGGGUAGUCCUAACUGUAAACGAUGCGGACUUGGUGUUGGGGUGGCUUUGAGCUGCUCCAGUGCCGAAGGGAAGCUGUUAAGUCCGCCGCCUGGGAAGUACGGUCGCAAGACUGAAACUCAAAUGAAUUGGCGGGG
rnacentral:rRNA from 1 species